rnacentral:tRNA from 2 species
GGGGCCAUAGCUCAGCUGGGAGAGCGCCAGCUUUGCAAGCUGGAUGUCGUCGGUUCGAUCCCGACUGGCUCCACCA